AACGAACGCUGGCGGCAUGCCUAACACAUGCAAGUCGAACGAGACCUUCGGGUCUAGGGGCGCACGGGUGCGUAACGCGGGGGAACCUGCCCGUGAGUUCGGAAUAACUGCCCGAAAGGUGUGCUAAUACCGGAUAAUGUCUUCGGACCAAGGAUCUAUGGCCGUUGGAUGGGCCCGCGUUGGCUUAGGUAGUUGGUAGGGUAAAAGCCGACCAAGGCGACGAUCCAUAGCUGGUGUGAGAGGAUGCUCAUCCACACUGGCACUGCGACCCGGCCCAGAAUCCUACGGGAGGCAGCAGUGGGGAAUAUUGGACGAUGGGCGAAAGUCUGAUCCAGCAACGCCGGGUGAGUGAUGAAGGGCUUAGGGUUGUAAAGCUCUUUUAGCCGGGAUGAUAAUGACAGUACCGGGAGAAUAAGCUCCGGCUAACUACGUG
rnacentral:rRNA from 1 species